rnacentral:rRNA from 1 species
AAUCAACGCUGGCGGCGUGCCUCAGACAUGCACGUCGAACGAUUAAAGCUCUCUUCGGAGAGUGUAUAGAGUGGCGCACGGGUGAGUAACACGUAAGUAAUCUACCUCUGAGUGGGGAAUAACGUCCGGAAACGGACGCUAAUACCGCAUAAUGCAGCGGCACCGCAAGGUGACAGUUGUUAAAGAUUUAUCGCUUAGAGAGGAGCUUGCGGCAGAUUAGCUAGUUGGUAAGGUAAUGGCUUACCAAGGCUACGAUCUGUAACCGGUCUUAGAGGACGGUCGGUCACACUGACACUGAAUAACGGGUCAGACUCCUACGGGAGGCAGCAGUCGGGAAUUUUGGGCAAUGGGCGAAAGCCUGACCCAGCAACGCCGCGUGAAGGAUGAAGUAUCUCGGUAUGUAAACUUCGAAAGAACGGGAAGAAUCAAUGACGGUACCAUUUAUAAGGUCCGGCUAACUACGUGCCAGCCGCCGCGGUAAAAC